AUUGGAAAUGGCUGUUUUGAGUUUAUCACUAAAAUUGUUCAGUCAAAGGGGAUAAGCAUUUACAUAGAAAACCUGUAUGUCACCCGGACUCGGCUUGCACCCUAUGGCUGUGAUCCAUUGCAGUCCUUUCCUACUGAUGCUCAGAGGAUGGACAUCAUAGUUCUCCCUCUCUGGACACCUGCUCAUUUCCAGUUGUGUGAAUCUUGCAGUGAAGCUCAUUCCCGGGCAGUGGUCAGAAAAAAACAGCUUUGACUUGAAGGGUUUUCCAAGCCAAGACUACGGAGUUGACUGUGGGAUCUUCAUGCUGAUGUCUGCUCUGUACGUGGCACUGGAUGCACCAUUUGACUAUACUAUAUCAGACAUGCCCUACUUGCGUAAAUGGUGGUGCUUGCUGUUGAUGGAGAACUUUGAUCUCAGGAGGUAUUUAUAU